GUAUAGCUCAGUGAUAGAGCGCUUGCCUAACAUGCAUGAGUUCCUGGGUCCAAUACCCAGCAC
rnacentral:tRNA from 1 species